UACGAAGGGGGCGAGCGUUGUUCGGAGUUACUGGGCGUAAAGGGCGCGUAGGCGGCGUUCCAAGUUAGGCGUGAAAGCCCCGGGCUCAACCUGGGAAUAGCGCUUAAGACUGGGAUGCUCGAGUGCGGGAGAGGUGAGUGGAAUUCCCAGUGUAGAGGUGAAAUUCGUAGAUAUUGGGAAGAACACCAGUGGCGAAGGCGGCUCACUGGCCCGCAACUGACGCUGAGGCGCGAAAGCGUGGGGAGCAAACAGG
rnacentral:rRNA from 1 species